rnacentral:rRNA from 1 species
GACGAACGCUGGCGGCGUGCUUAACACAUGCAAGUCGAGCGGUAAGGCCCUUUCGGGGUACGACGAGCGGCGAACGGGUGAGUAACACGUGGGUGACCUGCCCUCCAGCUCUGGGAGUAAGCCUGGGAAACGUAGGGUCUAAUACUGGAUAUGACUCCACGGUGCAUGUCGUGGGGUGGAAAGCCUUGUGCGGCUGAGGAUGGGCCCGCGGCCUAUCAGCUUGUUGGUGGGGUGAGGCCUACCAAGGCGACGACGGGUAGCCGGCCUGAGAGGGCGACCGGCCACACUGGGACUGAGACACGGCCCAGACUCCUAC